CUAAACUUUGCGCUAUUUACUGAAUACUCUCUGGUCAAUUCCCUCCACUCAUUAGAGUGAGUAAAAAUGUGGCUAAACCUGGUGUCCAUACUAGUACUCCUCAAAGGAGUCCAAUCUCAAGUACAGUUGGUGGAGUCUGGAGGGGGUGUGAGAAGACCUGGAGAGUCCCUCCGUCUCACCUGCCAAAGUUCUGGGUUCACCUUCAGCAGCUAUUGGAUGCACUGGGUGAGACAGGCUCCAGGGAAAGGACUGGAAUGGGUUGCACUCAUUUAUACUGAUUCCAGUGGAAAGUUCUACUCAGACAAAGUGAAGGGCCGCUUCACCAUCUCCAGGGACAAUGCCAAAAGCCAGCUGUAUCUGCAAAUGAACAGCCUCAAAGCUGAAGACACGGGAGUCUAUUACUGUGCGAGACACACAGUGAGAGGAAGUGAAUCCUGGAAUGGAAUGUUCUCCUUUGAUAUCAUGGGGGAAGGAUGGAAAGGAUAA